rnacentral:lncRNA from 1 species
UUAGUGUUCUUGAAUUAAAGACCUCAGUCAAUAGAACAAAGCCAUAUUCAAAGACAUAAAAUGAGAACUUCUUUUCCCCCUACAAUGAAGGAAGAAGUGGAUCUGAUCAUCCAAGAGAGUAACACUUUGUUCCAACCCUACUGGCACAGGGAUAUGUGCACGUAAAUCCAUCUUCCAUCUAUGCUCUGCUGACUCAUUCGGAAAAAUCAGAAGUGAGAUGGUCGUUCUUCUCUGUUAAUAAUUACACAGGGACCUAAUAUAAAUAGAAGAAAUUUCAUGGAGAUCUUCCCAUCUAAUACAUGAAUUAUGCAAAACCAGUUCUCAUUUUUACUUUCUUCAUUGACAAAAUGGUGAAGUACAACAUAGGAAAGAGGUAUGUGGUAAUCCCAGGGUUUAACUCUUAUUUUGACAUUCCAUGGUUUUUAGGAGCUCAGAUGAAUAAGUUGAGAUUCAGACAUCUCUGCCAGUCUCAGACUUUGCUACAGCAGCAUGGUAUUCUAAAUCUUUGGAUACUUCCAC